UACGGAGAAUGCGAGCGUUAUCCGGAUUUAUUGGGUUUAAAGGGUGCGUAGGCGGACGCUUAAGUCAGCGGUAAAAUUGCGGGGCUCAACCUCGUCGAGCCGUUGAAACUGGGUGCCUUGAGUGGGCGAGAAGUACGCGGAAUGCGUGGUGUAGCGGUGAAAUGCAUAGAUAUCACGCAGAACUCCGAUUGCGAAGGCAGCGUACCGGCGCCCAACUGACGCUGAAGCACGAAGGCGUGGGUAUCGAACAGG
rnacentral:rRNA from 1 species